GCGCGGUUAGCUCAGUGGUAGAGCACUACCUUGACACGGUAGGGGUCGCAGGUUCGAAACCUGCACCGCGCACCA
rnacentral:tRNA from 1 species